rnacentral:rRNA from 1 species
UACGUAGGCAGCAAGCGUUGUUCGGAGUUACUGGGCGUAAAGGGUGCGUAGGUGGCUCUAUAAGUAUGGUGUGAAAUCUCCCGGCUUAACUGGGAGGGUGCGCCGUAGACUGUGGGGCUAGAGUGUGGGAGAGGAAAGUGGAAUUCCUGGUGUAGCGGUGAAAUGCGUAGAUAUCAGGAGGAACACCGGUGGUGUAAACGGCUUUCUGGACCAUAAACUGACACUGAGGCACGGAAAGCGUGGGUAGCAAACAGG